CCUACGGGUGGCAGCAGUGAGGAAUAUUGGUCAAUGGGCGAGAGCCUGAACCAGCCAAGUCGCGUGAGGGAAGACGGUCCUACGGAUUGUAAACCUCUUUUGUCAGGGAGCAAGGAGCGCCACGAGUGGUGCGGCGAGAGUACUUGAAGAAAAAGCAUCGGCUAACUCCGUGCCAGCAGCCGCGGUAAUACGUAGGGAGCAAGCGUUGUCCGGAAUUACUGGGCGUAAGGGGCGCGUAGGUGGGUGCUUAAGUCAGGUGUGAAAACUCUGGGCUCAACCUGGAGACUGCACUUGAAACUGGGUAUCUUGAGGGCAGGAGAGGAAAGUGGAAUUCCUAGUGUAGCGGUGAAAUGCGUAGAUAAUAGGAGGAACACCAGUGGCGAAGGCGACUUUCUGGACUGUACCUGACGCUGAGGCGCGAAAGCGUGGGUAGCGAACGGGAUUAGAUACCCUAGUAGUC
rnacentral:rRNA from 1 species